rnacentral:misc_RNA from 1 species
UAUUAAAACGAUCAUCAUACCUGACCAUAACAUGAAAGAUUUAAAAACAAUACCUAACAAUAUCAGAGAGAAUUUAAAUAUUAUCCCAGUGAAACAUUUAGAGGAAGGAUUGGAUAUUGUUAUUCCUGGAGGAUUGGCAACACUGAAAAAUCCAUUAGUUACAACGAUGGAAAUAUGUAAACUUUAGUCCAAGAAUAAUAUAAAUAUUAUUCAUUAUUGUUUUUAUUAUUUUAAUCGAUACAAUAUGGCAUAAGUUGUGUCAAAUUUUAGGCUUUAUCCGUCUCAUCCCAAGGCUCGAAAUGUUUUAGCAAU